rnacentral:lncRNA from 1 species
GGUGUAUAUUGCAAAUUUUUAGCUUUUGGGCCUUUGGAGUUUUAAUGGAGGUUUGGAUGGUGUUAUAGUUUUAGAAUGAGAAAGUGGUCUUCAUGAAGUUUUUAGAGCACGUCUCAAGCUUUUUAUAAAUAUUUGAUCUGAAAAAAUCCAAGUUCGUUUAGGCCUCCAAACAUUGUUUUAGAGUAAGCUGAUCUGAACCCUGCUUGGAUUGGAU